AUGACCAGGCAGGAGCUAUAUAUCCCUCUUGAAAGUUCAGCGGCUCCCAAAGAAUGUGAUGCGGAGCAUCCUUUGGUCAUCCCCAUGGACCUACGUACGUCUCCCACGACACCACUUGGACCAGUGACAAGAGCUCGAGCAAAGUUUAUCGAAGAUAAGGUGAACUCGCUCCUCUCCGAACUACCACUUUAUUCAUAUGAGACAUGGCUACUACCUCAAGCAGAAACCCUAUGCAUGAUCAGGUACUUAGAGGAUAGCCAUGGAACAACUAUAGCCAACAGACAAGACGGUGAUGACACCAAGUACAAGGAACAAGAAGAAGAGCUAUGA
rnacentral:rRNA from 1 species